UAGGGAAUCUUCCGCAAUGGGCGAAAGCCUGACGGAGCAACGCCGCGUGAGUGAUGAAGGUCUUCGGAUCGUAAAACUCUGUUAUUAGGGAAGAACAAAUGUGUAAGUAACUAUGCACGUCUUGACGGUACCUAAUCAGAAAGCCACGGCUAACUACGUGCCAGCAGCCGCGGUAAUACGUAGGUGGCAAGCGUUAUCCGGAAUUAUUGGGCGUAAAGCGCGCGUAGGCGGUUUUUUAAGUCUGAUGUGAAAGCCCACGGCUCAACCGUGGAGGGUCAUUGGAAACUGGAAAACUUGAGUGCAGAAGAGGAAAGUGGAAUUCCAUGUGUAGCGGUGAAAUGCGCAGAGAUAUGGAGGAACACCAGUGGCGAAGGCGACUUUCUGGUCUGUAACUGACGCU
rnacentral:rRNA from 1 species